GCACGUAGCUCAGUUGGUUAGAGCACCACCUUGACAUGGUGGGGGUCGUUGGUUCGAGUCCACUCGCG
rnacentral:tRNA from 1 species